UACAUGUUUAUGAUGUCUACAAUUGGAAUGGUGAGCUUUGGAAUGUGGUAGCAUUGUGAGCAGCAAAACCUGUGCAACUGCAUCUGACAUCGCCAGGAUGGGGGCCCAACCAAGGUGAGGGCAAAGAGGACGGUAAGGGAGAAAGAAAGAAAGAAGGGAAGAUAGGAGGAAGGACUAGCUUGCAGCUCCUGCCUGGAUGGACAGAGCAGCGUGGGGAGACUCAUAUUGUGAACUUUUGCUCCAAGAACUACUGCAGGAACAUACCAGGAAGCCAAGAGAAUCCACAGACCCUUUGAAGGAACUAGAUCACUGCUGCAGUCUCCCUGAGAUGACAAAAAACUGGUACAAGCCAGGCACUGAGCUGGGCAUUGAGGAUGAAGAGAUGAAACACAAUUCUAGCAUCUAAAUAGACCUUUGUUGGAAGUUGAGUUCCAGAGUGGGAUAUCAGACUCAAGGCCCAGACUUCACUUCUGGUCUCCUGACUUCCAAGUGAACAGUGUUGCAGCUUCCCUGACUGCAGUUAUAGGAGAAGACAGGGAGGAGAUAAAGAUGAGAGUGCCUCGGGAAGAGCAGGGAUGGAGGAGACAACCUGAGUCUUCUGAUCCAAAGGAGUGUGAAGAUGGAGUGACAUUGACAGAACUGCAGAAGAAAGGGACUUGGCAUUUAUGGAGCAUACACCUGUACCAUCAUAUCAAAAUGCAACACAGCUAUUGCCUCUUGGAACAUUAUAAUAGAAUGGGGAAAUCAAGUAUAUAAAGAGAAAGCCAGGAUGUGGAGCCAGGAGAGAAGGGGCAUUCAAAGGGCCUGGGAGACCCUUGGUGAAAACAAUCAGUUGGUUUCAACAUCCCAGGGAGAUUCUCAAUCAGGAUAAAGCAAAGGCAUCCAUGAAGACUAUGCUUCCUUCUUCUAGUAGCUCACAGAGACCAAAGUUGGCACACAGCACUCUCCUAACAC